AAAAGCUUCAAUGAAGAGACUCGUUUGUGUACUGAAGGAAUCCGCCACACAAACAUAAGGUUUAAAAAGUUUGCUCUUAAAUCACAGAUGUAACCUCAACAGCAUACGUACGAAGCCUACGAGAGGCUUACAGACGGAGUGUGUCUGUGUUACAGGCGUGUGGGUCCCGAGAGACGUCAAAGAUGCAAAUACACAACUAGGAGCCCAUCUUCACCAAGGCAUUGUCUUCAUUCCACUGUAAAGAGGAGUUCAUGGCUGCUUGCUGUGUCAUGGCAUUUCAACACCAUCAGAAAAUCAUUACAGAUCCAGGAGGAACAAAGAUAGACAUGUCAGAUAGAUGAUGAAAGGAACAGAUGGUGUGUAGUGGAUCUGAUGUCCGCUCCAGUGAGCCUGCUGUCAUAUCGCUUGCACCUUCUCAUAUCCGAUGGUAUUCGGACGUGUCGCCUGCACACCGGACCACGAUCACUGCCAGAGGAGUGACACGGUGCAAAGUGCAUCCCAUCAGAAAUGUAUAAAAUAACACUAUACGCUGCUGAGUUUAAUCUUUUGGUGGGUAAGAUGGAUUCCUCUGAAUUAGCUUGAUGCUUGUUGCAUCAGUGGUGUGUAAAA